GGGUGGGAGACCUCAAACGAAAAAUUAAAAAAGCCAGCUCUCUUUCAAGGGCAGACUAAACAAUAAAAAAAACCCUGUUAUUUAAGGGUUUAUAUGAGUUUCUUUCAAAGGGCAAGGAUUGCCCGGUGCACUAAGCGUGCUAUGCACGAGAUUCGGGGAAGGGCCGAAUCACAGUAAAUAAAUUUUUUUCAAGGGCAGAUUACAAUAAAAGAAAAAAACCUUUGCAGAAAGUAUUGUAUUGGGACUUAUGCAGGAUAAUUGUUGUAUGAUUCAUUGAUUCUGAUAAAGUUGUUAUUCCAAUAAGAAGAUCACAUUGAUGGAAAAUUGGCAAGUUGUAUUCAGUUGUACUGUGAGUAUGUAUAGAGAAAGAUAUAACAUAGCUAAAGAAAAGGUAAUUUAGUACUUUCACAUCAGUCAGUUAGGUUAGUUUAAGCUUAC
rnacentral:lncRNA from 1 species